rnacentral:piRNA from 1 species
UAGUGUCCAAAGUUUUGCUCAAUGCAC